rnacentral:rRNA from 1 species
AACGAACGCUGGCGGCAGGCUUAACACAUGCAAGUCGAGCGCCCCGCAAGGGGAGCGGCAGACGGGUGAGUAACGCGUGGGAACGUACCUUUUGGUUCGGAACAACUCCGGGAAACUGGAGCUAAUACCGGAUAAGCCCUAACGGGGAAAGAUUGAUCGCCGAAAGGUCGGCCCGGGUCUGAUUAGCUAGUUGGUGAGGUAACGGCUCACCAAGGCGACGAUCAGUAGCUGGUCUGAGAGGAUGAUCAGCCACACUGGGACUGAGACACGGCCCAGACUCCGACGGGAGGGAGCAGUGGGGAAUAUUGGACAAUGGGCGCAAGCCUGAUCCAGCCAUGCCGCGUGAGUGAUGAAGGCCUUAGGGUUGUAAAGCUCUUUUGUCCGGGAAGAUAAUGACUGUACCGGAAGAAUAAGCCCCGGCUAACUUCGUG